UUCAGGUGGCAGAUUAGUGCUUUGGAUUUAGGUUCCAACCAAGUACGGAAGUACCCUGAAA
rnacentral:tRNA from 1 species